GUUGUAUGGUUAAGCGACUAAGCGUAUACGGUGGAUGCCUUGGCAGUCAGAGGCGAUGAAGGACGUAGUAACUUGCGAAAAGCGUUGGCGAGCUAGUAACAAGCAUUUGAGCUAACGAUGUCCGAAUGGGGGAACCCAGCAGCAUAAGCUGUUAUCGCAACAUGAAUACAUAGUGUUGCGAGGCGAACGAGGGGAACUGAAACAUCUAAGUACCCUUAGGAAAAGAAAUCAACCGAGAUUCCCCUAGUAGCGGCGAGCGAACGGGGAUUAGCCCUUAAGUCAGUGGGGUGUUAGUGGAAUGCGUUGGAAAGCGCAGCGGCACAGGGUGAUAGCCCCGUACAUGAAAACUAACCAUUGAUGAAAACGAGUAAGGCGGGACACGUGACAUCCUGUUUGAAUAUGGGGGGACCAUCCUCCAAGGCUAAAUACUCCUGACUGACCGAUAGUGAACCAGUACCGUGAGGGAAAGGCGAAAAGAACCCCUGUGAGGGGAGUGAAAUAGAACCUGAAACCGUAUACGUACAAGCAGUGGGAGCGGUUCUUGAGACCGUGACUGCGUACCUUUUGUAUAAUGGGUCAGCGACUUACAUUUUGUAGCGAGGUUAAGCGAAUAGCGGAGCCGUAGGGAAACCGAGUGUUAACUGCGCGUUUAGUUGCAAGGUGUAGACCCGAAACCCGGUGAUCUAGCCAUGGGCAGGUUGAAGGUUGAGUAACAUCAACUGGAGGACCGAACCGACUAAUGUUGAAAAAUUAGCGGAUGACUUGUGGCUGGGGGUGAAAGGCCAAUCAAACCGGGAGAUAUCUGGUUCUCCUCGAAAGCUAUUUAGGUAGCGCCUCGAGCGAAUACCAUUGGGGGUAGAGCACUGUUAAGGCUAGGGGGUCAUCCCGACUUACCAACCCUUUGCAAACUCCGAAUACCAAUGAGUACUACUCGGGAGACAGACGGCGGGUGCUAACGUCCGUCGUCAAAAGGGAAACAACCCAGACCGUCAGCUAAGGUCCCAAAGUACUAGCUAAGUGGGAAACGAUGUGGGAAGGCUUAGACAGCUAGGAUGUUGGCUUAGAAGCAGCCAUCAUUUAAAGAAAGCGUAAUAGCUCACUAGUCGAGUCGGCCUGCGCGGAAGAUGUAACGGGGCUAAGCUAGUCACCGAAGCUACGGGUGCACAGUUUACUGUGCGCGGUAGAGGAGCGUUCUGUAAGCCGUUGAAGGUGAAGGGGUAACCCACGCUGGAGGUAUCAGAAGUGCGAAUGCUGACAUGAGUAACGAUAAAGGGGGUGAAAAACCCCCUCGCCGAAAGACCAAGGGUUCCUGUCCAACGUUAAUCGGGGCAGGGUGAGUCGACCCCUAAGGUGAGGCCGAAAGGCGUAAUCGAUGGGAAACAGAUUAAUAUUUCUGUACUUCCGCUAACUGCGAUGGAGAGACGGAGAAGGCUAGGCUAGCGCGGCGUUGGUAGUCCGCGUUUAAGGUGGUAGGUGGUGUUCUUAGGCAAAUCCGGGGACACGUACUUAAAUGUACACACUGAGAGCUGAUGACGAGGUCCUAAGGGACUGAAGUAGUUGAUGCCAUGCUUCCAGGAAAAUCUUCUAAGCUUCAGGUUAGUGGGAAUCGUACCCCAAACCGACACAGGUGGUCGGGUAGAGAAUACCAAGGCGCUUGAGAGAACUCGGCUGAAGGAACUAGGCAAAAUGGUACCGUAACUUCGGGAGAAGGUACGCUCUNNNNNNNNNNNNNNNNNNNNNNNNNNNNNNNNNNNNNNNNNNNNNNNNNNNNNNNNNNNNNNNNNNNNNNNNNNNNNNNNNNNNNNNNNNNNNNNNUCUUGUUGGUGAUGAGACUUGCUCUCUAAGCUGACGGGAGUCGCAGAUACCAGGUGGCUGCAACUGUUUAUCAAAAACACAGCACUGUGCAAACUCGCAAGAGGAAGUAUACGGUGUGACGCCUGCCCGGUGCCGGAAGGUUAAUUGAUUGGGUUAUCGCAAGAGAAGCUCAUGAUCGAAGCCCCGGUAAACGGCGGCCGUAACUAUAACGGUCCUAAGGUAGCGAAAUUCCUUGUCGGGUAAGUUCCGACCUGCACGAAUGGCGUAAUGAUGGCCACGCUGUCUCCAGCCGAGACUCAGUGAAGUUGAAAUUGCGGUGAAGAUGCCGUAUACCCGCGGCUAGACGGAAAGACCCCGUGAACCUUUACUAUAGCUUGGCACUGAACAUUGAACCUACAUGUGUAGGAUAGGUGGGAGACUAUGAAGUUGUGACGCUAGUCAUGAUGGAGUCGUCCUUGAAAUACCACCCUUGUAGUUUUGAUGUUCUAACCUAGGUCCCUUAUCGGGAUUAGGGACAGUGCCUGGUGGGUAGUUUGACUGGGGCGGUCUCCUCCCAAAGAGUAACGGAGGAGCACGAAGGUUGGCUAAGUACGGUCGGACAUCGUACGGUUAGUGCAAUGGCAUAAGCCAGCUUAACUGCGAGACAUACACGUCGAGCAGGUACGAAAGUAGGUCAUAGUGAUCCGGUGGUUCUGAAUGGAAGGGCCAUCGCUCAACGGAUAAAAGGUACUCCGGGGAUAACAGGCUGAUACCGCCCAAGAGUUCAUAUCGACGGCGGUGUUUGGCACCUCGAUGUCGGCUCAUCACAUCCUGGGGCUGAAGUCGGUCCCAAGGGUAUGGCUGUUCGCCAUUUAAAGUGGUACGCGAGCUGGGUUCAGAACGUCGUGAGACAGUUCGGUCCCUAUCUGCCGUGGGCGUUGGAUGAUUGAAGGGAGCUGCUCCUAGUACGAGAGGACCGGAGUGGACGAACCGCUGGUGUUCGGGUUGUCAUGCCAAUGGCAUUGCCCGGUAGCUACGUUCGGAAUCGAUAACCGCUGAAAGCAUCUAAGCGGGAAGCGAGCCCUAAGAUGAGUCAUCCCUAGGAAUUUAAUUCCUCUAAAGAGCCGUUCGAGACUAGGACGUUGAUAGGCAUGGUGUGUAAGCGUUGUGAGGCGUUGAGCUAACAUGUACUAAUGACUCGAGAGGCUUAACCAUACAACCCAGAUGGGUUUU
rnacentral:rRNA from 1 species